rnacentral:rRNA from 1 species
GGGCCCGCACAAGCGGUGGAGUAUGUGGUUUAAUUCGAUGUAACGCGAAGAACCUUACCAGGGUUUGACAUCCUGCGAAUCUUUUGGAAACGAGAGAGUGCCUUCGGGAGCGCAGUGACAGGUGGUGCAUGGCUGUCGUCAGCUCGUGUCGUGAGAUGUUGGGUUAAGUCCCGCAACGAGCGCAACCCACGUCUUUAGUUGCCAGCAUUCAGUUGGGCACUCUAGAGAGACCGCCGGUGAUAAACCGGAGGAAGGUGUGGAUGACGUCAAGUCAUCAUGCCCCUUACAUCCUGGGCUACACACGUACUACAAUGCUACGGACAAAGAGCAGCAAGUUCGCGAGGACAAGCAAAUCUCAUAAACCGUGGCUCAGUUCAGAUCGUAGGCUGCAACUCGCCUACGUGAAGGAGGAAUCGCUAGUAAUCGC